UACGGAGGGGGCAAGCGUUGUUCGGAAUUACUGGGCGUAAAGCGCGCGUAGGCGGUCGUGCAAGUCGGAUGUGAAAUCCCUCGGCUCAACCGAGGAACUGCGUCCGAUACUGCAUGGCUUGAGUCCGGUAGGGGAUGGCAGAAUUCCCGGUGUAGCGGUGGAAUGCGUAGAUAUCGGGAGGAAUACCGAUGGCGAAGGCGGCCAUCUGGGCCGGAACUGACGCUGAGGCGCGAGAGCUAGGGGAGCAAAC
rnacentral:rRNA from 1 species